GACGAACGCUGGCGGCGUGCUUAACACAUGCAAGUCGAACGGAAAGGCCCUGCUUUUGUGGGGUGCUCGAGUGGCGAACGGGUGAGUAACACGUGAGUAACCUGCCCUUGACUUUGGGAUAACUUCAGGAAACUGGGGCUAAUACCGGAUAGGAGCUCCUGCUGCAUGGUGGGGGUUGGAAAGUUUCGGCGGUUGGGGAUGGACUCGCGGCUUAUCAGCUUGUUGGUGGGGUAGUGGCUUACCAAGGCUUUGACGGGUAGCCGGCCUGAGAGGGUGACCGGAAAAAUGGGGAAGGAGAGACGGCCCAGACUCCUAGGGGGGGAAGAAGGGGGGAAAAUGGCACAAGGGGGGGAAGCCGGAUGCAGAAACGCCGGGGGGGGGAGGAGGGCCUUGGGGUGGUAAACCGCUUUCGCCGGGGACGAAGGGGGGGGGACGGUAAUGGGUAAAGAAGCACCGGAUAAAUAAGU
rnacentral:rRNA from 1 species